GCCAGAGUGAUCGAUGGCUCAAAACCGUUUUCUAAACCAUCUCAGAGAAGACAGGGCUGAUUCCUCUUGUGGUCAGAAGUUGGCUGCAGUCUUUCCAGGCAUCCCAUCCAGAAAUGACAAUGUCCAAAGGAAGAAUCUUGCAUCUCUUGUCAAGAAUGAAGAAACAACCAUGGUCUCCCCUGAAGAGUAAGCCCUCUGAAAGUGGAUAGCUGAACAAUGUCAGGUUCUUUUAGGAGGGUCAAAGGAGAAAUGGCUGUUGGA
rnacentral:lncRNA from 1 species